AAUAAGUUAAUUAAGAGCGUAAGGUGGAUGCCUUGGCUCUCAGAGGCGAUGAAGGACGUGAUAAGCUGCGAUAAGCUACGGGGAUUGGCACACACAAUUUGAUCCGUAGAUUUCCGAAUGGGGAAACCCACUAUAUUGAAGAUAUAGUAUCCGUUAAGGAAGCAAACCCAGGGAACUGAAACAUCUAAGUACCUGGAGGAAUAGAAAACAAAAGUGAUUCCGCUAGUAGUGGCGAGCGAACGCGGAACAGCCCAAACCAAAAUUGUUUCGGCAAUUUUGGGGUUGUAGGACCACGAUAUUGAAUGUUUAAUGAAUUAGAAUUCUUUGGAAAAAG
rnacentral:rRNA from 1 species